rnacentral:rRNA from 1 species
CGAGAAAGCCCGCAAGGGUGAGUAAAGCGGCGCACGGGUGCGUAACACGUGGGUAAUCUGCCCUGGAGUCCGGAAUAACUCGCCGAAAGGCGUGCUAAUGCCGGAUUAGACCACGGGAGCUCCGGCUCCUGCGGGAAAAGGUGGCCUCUGUAUACAAGCUAUCGCUUCAGGAUGAGCCCGCGGCCCAUCAGCUCGUUGGCGGGGUAAUGGCCCACCAAGGCUACGACGGGUAGCUGGUCUGAGAGGACGAUCAGCCACACUGGAACUGAGACACGGUCCAGACUCCUACGGGAGGCAGCAGUGGGGAAUCUUGCGCAAUGGGCGAAAGCCUGACGCAGCAACGCCGCGUGUGUGAUGAAGGUCUUCGGAUCGUAAAGCACUGUCGCGAGGGACG